UGGGGAAUAUUGCACAAUGGGCGAAAGCCUGAUGCAGCAACGCCGCGUGAGUGAUGAAGGUCUUCGGAUUGUAAAGCUCUGUCUUUUGGGACGAUAAUGACGGUACCAAAGGAGGAAGCCACGGCUAACUACGUGCCAGCAGCCGCGGUAAUACGUAGGUGGCGAGCGUUGUCCGGAUUUACUGGGCGUAAAGGGUGCGUAGGCGGAUGUUUAAGUGAGAUGUGAAAUACCCGGGCUUAACUUGGGUGCUGCAUUUCAAACUGGAUAUCUAGAGUGCAGGAGAGGAGAAUGGAAUUCCUAGUGUAGCGGUGAAAUGCGUAGAGAUUAGGAAGAACACCAGUGGCGAAGGCGAUUCUCUGGACUGUAACUGACGCUGAGGCACGAAAGCGUGGGUAGCAAACAGGAUUAGAUACCCUGGUAGUCCACGCCGUGAACGAUGAGUACUAGGUGUAGGAGGUAUCGACCCCUUCUGUGCCGCAGUAAACACAUUAAGUACUCCGCCUGGGGAGGUACGAUCGCAAGAUUAAAACUCUAAAGUGAAUUGAC
rnacentral:rRNA from 1 species